UGUGCCAAAGCUGCAGCUGUGAGAUGGAAGUGUACGGGCAUGGGGUACCAUGAAGCUGGCUGGAGCUGUGUGCCUCUGGAGGCAGGGGAGCAUCCUGGGGUGGAAUUAAGCUCCGGGAGAAGGGGAGCCUGGAAGGAGGCCUCAGAUGUCUGUGCAGCUCUUACAUGCUGUGAAGGGAACUCUGAUGAAAGGUUACGGCAGUGGGAUGGAUGACACCCAACAAGAGGCGUGUGCAGCACUUUUGAUGACUUUUUGGUGUAGAAUACUUGCUUCCAGAGAGUUUAACCCUCCUUUUGAUGGCUAGGAAAGACAGUCACCAGGGGAAGGCCACUCUCUGUUAACCUCUUCAGUGCUGUGUUUCUCCAAUGAUGGUUGGAGAAACCUUCAUCACAAGAGAGCCUCAAGGCUGAGACCAAGCGGUCUGUACCUAUUUAUGUUGUGUGGGAGGAUUCCUUCUUGACUAGCAGACAUGACAGUAGCACAAGGCACGCAAAGAAAGUGCAAGAGCUCUCUCAUUUCUGUUAAGCAAAAUUCAGCCUGACAAUUUCUAAGUAAUGAAUUGAUAAACUUUUGACACACUCAUGAUCCCAUUGGAGCUGGCUGCAUAUGUAAAAGGAAGCCCAAGCUUAAUAAAUGCUUAGUAAGUGCUUUGCUGGGCUGAGUGAGGAAUUCCAAUGUCUUAAGGCAUAAGCCAACUCUGAGAGGACUUAGGAAUAAGCAGCGUGACUGGGUAAAAUUUCUUAUUGAUUACCACAACAGAGAAUUUGUGCAUCCUUUUUGUUUACAGACUGCUUAGUUUCUGGUCCUGAUGACUGCUGAAACCAGGUUCCUCAUGUAGAUUGCUCCCUGGUUUGAAGCCAUGUAAUUGUUCCAAUGUUCUCUGUCCUGUAAACAUCUCCUAGAACAUGGCACACCGCUUCAUCUGUCUCUCGUUAAGUAGAGAAUGUGAUUAUUAUUAGGCACAGAGUUGUCAAACCAAUUUGGUGUCUCCGGACUUCACCAAGGAUCAGGCAGUUUCACCAAGAUGCCAUCUUCUUCUUGACAGCUGACACUGAGAAAGCUAAGAAACAUUAAAAAAAAGUAAUAAAUAAAUAUACUGUACACAAGCAAGACUGCCAAAAUGCAGGCGGAGUGCAUGUUAGGAAAUUAUUUACAGUGGCUGAAGUUUGAAUCUAUUGAGGCUGAAGUUAAAAUAUCAGCUGGGAUCCCAGCCCAAGCUUGGUCACAAACGGAACACGUCAAAAAGCGCUCAGGAAAUGAGCAGAGGCCCUGCUGAGCAAAGCCAGCUCUUCUGUGGCUGCUCCUUCCUGCUCAGAGCUCCAGCAGAGAGAGAAAAACCCUGCUAAGAGAUUGAGAACAGCUGAAGGGAACAAGUGUCGUUGCGGUACAAUGUCCUCUGGAGAGCCAGGGAGCUGCUAGGCAAGUGCACUUUGGGCAGUGAUGCCCUGGGUUGCCGAGGGCCCUCAUAGCAGAGGCGGGGAGGAAAUUUGCGGCAGACCUAAUGUCUAUCGCACAGUUAUUGUGGGUAGUCAUAGGACCAGAGUGCAUUGAAACAUCAGGCUAAUCCUGCAGCUGGUGUCAAUUGAUGUUUCUCCACUAAUUGUGAUUGUUCCGUGGUGGGAGAGACUGGAUGAGGACCUGGUUUGUUGGCAGCACCCUGUAGAGCACCUUAGACCAGGUGGGACCCCCUGGGCACAGGUGGUACAGGAAUGGAGCUGAGAAGGGUGUGCCCUCUUGGUGCUCGUGCCUUUGGCAGAGUGGGUGGUGAGCGACGUGUAGAAGUAGUUUCACAAAGGUAGGGAAUAGGCAUAUGCUAGUGGCGUAGCUCACGUGGGUGUCAUCACCAAACCCAGGUGGGAGAUUCUGUAACUACCACUUGUGUAAGAGCACGAAGCAAAGGGAGUGUGAGGGGAAAAGAGGGUUCGCUUUGUGGGACCCCUGCCCAUUGUUGAAUUCCCACAGUCACACACACAGACUUGCUGGUCCUCCUAGGACAGGCAUGCUUCCCCUUCCAUUUCUUAGCUCUUUAGUGUGUCUCCUGAGACAGGCAACAGCAACACCGUGUGUUCAUCUGCUGCUGCUGCCUGGGCUUCUGCUGUCAUCCUCCCCACAGAUGCAUCCACCUUUCCUUGAAAGGCAGAGAUUGAUGCAGACCAUGGACCAGCACUUGUUCCUCAUGGUGGAAAGAAGAGUGAGACCUGUCUGUCUUCUGUGAUCCCAGCAUGUCUAUGAGCAAACCUUUCCCUCUGAAGUGUUAGAUCAAAGAUGGAUACAGGUAGCAAAAUCUCUGAACUGUACCAUAGCUCCUCUGAUCUAUCCAGUGGCUUUUCUUCCAUUGUCCUCACCUGGAGUUGGAGAGUACUCGCUCUGUAGGAGAACCCCCUCAGAGGCCCCUCCCCAUCCACAUGCACAGCACCCUCUCAGGAGUGCCAGGAGGGAGGCUGUGGAGAGCAACGCUGUGUGAUCUGGUGUGGAGCACCGCAAGCUAAGCAAAGCAUUUCUCCUUCCCGGGGAGCACUCACAUGCUCUGAACAGCGACAGCAGCAGUGUGAGGAUAACCCCGGCGCGGGCAGGGUGCUGACUCAUCUCUCCAGAAGAGGCAACCCUGUUUACAAUCACUGCUCCUUUGAAGUGGAAAAAUGGAGAAAACCUCUCAUGGCCAACGUUGUGAUUAACCAUCUAAUUGUUCUGCUGUUACUUUGGUGUUGGAGGGAGAAUGACAGCUCUUCAGAGUGAAGUCCUCUGUUUGUUCCCAAAACAUGCAGGGAGUCUCAUCAUGGAACAGAAUCAAUUCCUUGUUCCUGCCAACAGAUCCUUCAGUUGUCUUUUCCAUCAUGAGAGAUGGUGCCACAAGUGAUGGAGAGUGCCUUGAUAUCCUUUUCUGGGAGAAGACCCAUCACAUUGGGCUGCAAGUGCUGGCUGGGUACUCAGCCCCGACUGAAACACAGAAUCACAGCCUUUCCCACCAGCUCUGAGCAUGCACAUCCCUGAUGCGGCUGAUGUGGAGCACAGGAUUUUGGAGGGAGCUGGCACACCUAGUCCUAGUUGUGUCUUCUCUUCCGUGCACGCAGGUUUACACAAGGGCUUAAACUUUGUUGAUGCUCUGUGCCUCCUAGACAUUGCUUGUCUUUGCUUGAAAUAUCAGACUGGACUUGGGGUUUGGCAGAGGAUAUGUCUGAGCUUUAGUUUGAUCUGCAGUGUAAGUAAGAAAGAAGAUGACUUUGUCUUUGUCUGCCUUGGUAUCUAUGUGUCUGUGAAUAUGGGAAGGCAGGAGAAGUGCAUCUCAGCACGCAAAAUGUGAAAGAAAAUGGAGGACAACUAGUUCUGGAGAUUUUUGUCUGAUCAUUCAUUCCAGGCCAGGUCCAGCAAAAUGUUCCAUUUCAGGUGCAGAUCCCAUACAAAUACAUUUCAGAAGCAUUUCAAGCCAUUUUUUACUAUAUCCACCAAAUCAAAAGGAAGUUUUGAGAUGGCAAGUAGCUUAAAGCCAGAGAAGACUUGUUGAGUCUCACUGACAUUGCUGUUCCCUUCUGUGCCAAGCUGCCACAGCUCCCAUGGAAGCCCAUGCAGGCGUUAGCACAUUUGUCACCGGACCCCAGAACAUCUUAGGUGUUCCCCUACGUUGUGCACGAUGCGGUGUGUUGGAUUCAGAAAGGUGUUUUCAUGUGCUGGGCAGCUAGCUGUGUUGUAACGGAGGUUCUAGCGAGUGGUUCCUUCUCUCUUUGGUGCUGCAAAGCUGUGGGCUGCAGCUAGAGGGGGUGAGCAGGCAGAAGAUAGUUUCAGCUAAAAUUUCACAUUUGGAACUGUUUGACGUGCCCCUCUCUUUCCUCCUUCCCCUGAUCUCAGUGGCACCUGCCUUGAUCGCAGACAUACCUGUCCCCAGUAGACUUCUACAUGCAUGCGCGUUCCUAAUGUAUACAUGCUGUGUGUGUAUAUAUAUAUGUGUGUGCCUAUGCAUGCACAGUGUAUCUGAUGAUUAUCAUUAGCUACUGUGAUUUGUGGUGAGACCUAAUGUGAGGUCUCAGCCGGUGGCCAAGGUUGGAGUGCGUGAAGCGUUGUGCACACGUCAUGAGUAAAUGGCCCUUUCUCCAGAGAUCUUGCAAGUCCAAGUAUAUGAUUAGGAACAACAGAUGGAUACCACAAACAGACAGGCGGCGUGGGUGGGGGAGGAGCACAAAAUACCACUGAGAUAAUUAAGAUGAAUGAUUAAUGACUCGACUGGGUAAGAAGGGGCCAAAACACGCUAGCUGAAUAUUCACUGGUGAUGCUUCACAGGAGCCUCGGCAGCAGUGGACAACAGUAUUUGGACUUGCUCAUCAUCCAGGCUGCUAAAUUUGUUCUCUGUCUGUGUUUGUAGCAGCUCAGCUCUAAGGUUACCCUGUAGCUACACUGUAAGGAUGGUGUAACUACAGUGUAUUCUGUAUGGAAUGCAAGCCCAACCACACUGAAACACUAGUCCUUACAGGAAUUUUGAUCUUGUAGGAUCUCAUCCAACACCCACUGGAGUCAGUGAGCUCUUGACCCAUAUGGGAUUUGGGGCAGUCCCAGAAUGUUCAAGUGGGCUCCAAACUGGGCAAAACAAUUGGGAUAUGUAUUUAAAAUGAUAAGAAGAAAGGCUUUGUAUGAAAUGCAUGUAAUAUAUUUCUGUUUGCAUGUAGACAUUUUUACUGUGUGAAAUCAGACCAGUUUUAUAUCUGCUGCAGCUAUCUU